rnacentral:rRNA from 1 species
UACAGAGGGUGCGAGCGUUGUCCGGAAUCACUGGGCGUAAAGGGCGCGUAGGCGGCCUGGUAAGCGUGCGGUGAAAGCCCGGGGCUCAACCCCGGGUCGGCCGUGCGAACUGCGAGGCUGGAGUACUGUAGAGGCAGGUGGAAUUCCGGGUGUAGCGGUGGAAUGCGUAGAGAUCCGGAAGAACACCUAUGGCGAAGGCAGCUCUCUGGGACGGUACUGACGCUGAGACGCGAAAGCGUGGGGAGCGAACAGG